GACGAACGCUGGCGGCGUGCUUAACACAUGCAAGUCGAACGGAAAGGCCCUGCUUUUGUGGGGUGCUCGAGUGGCGAACGGGUGAGUAACACGUGAGUAACCUGCCCUUGACUUUGGGAUAACUUCAGGAAACUGGGGCUAAUACCGGAUAGGAGCUCCUGCUGCAUGGUGGGGGUUGGAAAGUUUCGGCGGUUGGGGAUGGACUCGCGGCUUAUCAGCUUGUUGGGGGGGUAGUGGCUUACCAAGGCUUUGACGGGUAGCCGGCCUGAGAGGGUGACCGGCCACAUUGGGACUGAGAUACGGCCCAGACUCCUACGGGAGGCAGCAGUGGGGAAUAUUGCACAAUGGGCGGAAGCCUGAUGCAGCAACGCCGUGUGCGGGAUGACGGCCUUCGGGUUGUAAACCGCUUUCGCCUGUGACGAAGCGUGAGUGACGGUAAUGGGUAAAGAAGCACCGGCUAACUACGUG
rnacentral:rRNA from 1 species